rnacentral:rRNA from 1 species
GAGUUUGAACCUGGCUCAGGAUGAACGCUGGCGGCGUGCCUAAUACAUGCAAGUCGAGCGAACAGAUGAGAAGCUUGCUUCUCUGAUGUUAGCGGCGGACGGGUGAGUAACACGUGGGUAACUUACCUAUAAGACUGGGAUAACUCCGGGAAACCGGGGCUAAUACCGGAUAAUAUAUUGAACCGCAUGGUUCAAUGUUGAAAGACGGUUUCGGCUGUCACUUAUAGAUGGACCCGCGCCGUAUUAGCUAGUUGGUAAGGUAACGGCUUACCAAGGCAACGAUACGUAGCCGACCUGAGAGGGUGAUCGGCCACACUGGAACUGAGACACGGUCCAGACUCCUACGGGAGGCAGCAGUAGGGAAUCUUCCGCAAUGGGCGAAAGCCUGACGGAGCAACGCCGCGUGAGUGAUGAAGGUCUUAGGAUCGUAAAACUCUGUUGUUAGGGAAGAACAAAUUUGUUGGUAACUGAACAAGUCUUGACGGUACCUAACCAGAAA